UACGGGGGGGGCAAGCGUUGUUCGGAAUUACUGGGCGUAAAGGGCUCGUAGGUGGCCAACUAAGUCAGACGUGAAAUCCCUCAGCUUAACUGGGGAACUGCGUCUGAUACUGGAUGUCUCGAGACCGGGAGAGGUGAGUGGAAUUCCGAGUGUAGAGGUGAAAUUCGUAGAUAUUCGGAAGAACACCAGUGGCGAAGGCGGCUCACUGGCCCGGUUCUGACGCUGAGGUGCGAAAGCGUGGGGAGCAAACAGG
rnacentral:rRNA from 1 species